GCGUUAACGAACGAGACCUUAACCUGCUAAAUAGCCCGUAUUGCUUUGGCAGUACGCUGGCUUCUUAGAGGGACUAUCCGCUCAAGCGGAUGGAAGUUUGAGGCAAUAACAGGUCUGUGAUGCCCUUAGAUGUUCUGGGCCGCACGCGCGCUACACUGACGGGUUCAUCGAGCUAAGCGUUUGUUACCUUGACUGACAGGUCUGGGGAAUCUUUGGAAUGCCCGUCGUGCUGGGGAUAGACCCUUGGAAUUAUGGAUCUUGAACGAGGAAUUCCUAGUAAACGCAAGUCAUCAGCUUGCAUUGAUUACGUCCCUGCCCUUUGUACACACCGCCCGUCGCUAGUACCGAUUGAAUGGGUUA
rnacentral:rRNA from 1 species